rnacentral:rRNA from 1 species
GAAGAGUUUUCUUUUUGAUGUCGGUUAAGGUAGGUUGGAUCGAUCUAUCGAUCGUCAGUACCUCUACCUAGGUGAUGGGUUUUACGAACGGAGAGAGUAGUACUGGUAUGACUAGUACUGGUACUACCGGUGGAGGCGGCGUCAACGCAGCAGCCUACGUCGCCACGAGCUUCCUGUUCGUUCUCGUGAGGAGCAGACCUUUCUAUCGGAGCUGUUGGUUUCGGUCGUUCCGGACGCGAGGACCCCUUUGUGCAGCUGCGGAACGUUGACCGCGCCGUAGUCAACGCUAUAGUCACACGUGGCUGUUGUCGUAACCGGCCACUAGUUGCCGUAGAGAGAUACCCCAUACGCCGACUCUCCCCGAGACCUCAGGGAGUUGAAGAGCCGGAACUCCUGGAACUGUGCGGAGCUGGAGAGCGUGUUGGAGGAGCGACCCUCGUAAGGAGGAUCAUAGCUCCAGGAACCGCUCGAGGUACGAGAGGAAAACGUUCCGUUGGUCUAUUCUCCGAGUUAGGGUGAUCCAGAUCCUUUAGAGUGUUUUAAUGUAAGGAAUUACGAAGUACUUUUACUUGAGAAGCCACUUUAUGAUUCAGUCUAUCCGUUGAACUCAUCAGAACAGUGGGAGUUGAACAGUUUGUUAGUGAAUCAACCAGUAUAGGGAACACUUUAUCCUGUGUACUUCGUGAAUCAACGUAAUCUAAACAGGUCAUUACUAGAAAAACCAUUUUAUGGUUCGUCGUAUCCACCAAACUGGCUUGAGUGAUCGAACAUGGAAAUGCCAUUAGCUGAAAGACCUGUUUAAGGUGCUCUUGAUCCAAUAGAAGAUUUGAAUUUCCUGGACGUUGAACCGUAGUUGUGUGACAGCCCAAAGUAAGGUGCUUUAAAUGUAUUAAACUGGUUCGAGUGACACAAUUAAGAUCCCCCUUUGUUUGAAAGGCCCAAUUAAGGUGUUUUUUAUCUAAUGGAAAGCUUGAAUCUCAUGGACCUAGAACCACUGUUGUAUGAGGGCCCAAGGUAGGGUUUAUCGUAUCCUUUAAACUGGUUUGAGUAUCGCAACAUGUAAAAGCAGUUGGUUGAAAGACCUGUGUAAGGAGCUCUUGAUCCAAUAGAACUCUUCAAUCUCGCCAACAUAGAACCGUGAUUGUGGAAUUAACCAAGGUAGGGCUUAUCAUAUCCUUUAAACUGGUUUGAGUGUUGGAACAAGGAAAUGUUGUUGGUUGAAAGACCUGUGUAGGGAGUUCUUGAUCCAAAGGAACUCUUGUAUCUCUCCAACUGCGAAUCGUCUUUGUACGAUUGUUCGAGGUAGGGUUUAUCGUAUCCUUUAAAUUGGUUUGAGCGUAGGAACCUGUAAAAGUACUUGGUUUAAACACCUGUGUAGGGAGCUCUUGAUCCAGCGGAACACUUGAAUCUCUCAAACCUAGAACCGUUAUUGUGGGAUUGACUACGGUAGGGUUUAUCGUAUCCUUUAAACUGGUUUGAGUCUCCGAACAUGGAAAUGCUGUUGGUUGAAAGACAUGUGUAGGGAGCUCUUGAUCCAGCGGAACUCUUGAAUCUCGUCAACCACGAAUCGUUGUUGUGUGAUUGUCCAAAGUAGGGUUUAUCGUAUCCUUUAAACUGCUUUGAGAUGUAAAACAUGGAACUAUUAUUGGUUGAAAGAUCCGUUUAAGGUGUUCUUGAUCCAAUAAAUCAGUCGAAUAUGAUGAACCCCGAAUCGAUGUUGCGUAACUGUCUAAGGUAGGGUUUUUUUGAUCCGUUAGAGUGUCUUGAGCGACAGAACAUGGAGCUGUUAUUGUUUAAAAGGCCGGUGUAAGGUGCUCUUAAUUCAAUAAACCGGUUGAAUUUCACCAACAGAGAAUCUUUAUUACGUGAUUGUCCAGGGUAGGGUUUAUCGGAACCGUUAGACUGUCUUGAGUUUUCCAACCUGAAACCGGUCUUGGUUGAAAGCUCCGCUUAAGGUAUUCCUUAUCGAACCAACAACUUAAAUCUCAUGAAAAUCUCGAAUCAUUGUUGUGUGAUUGUCUAAAUUGUUGUUUGUCGGAUCUGAUAGGACAUCUUAAUAGAAAGAACUCUUUAAAGUGUUCUACCGGGACAGGAGUAGGUGGGGAGGACGACGAGGAGAGGAGAGGGCGUCGCGUUCGAGGAGGACGCGUUCGAGGAGGACGGCCUGGGUAGAGGAGGCGGAGGUACCACGACGACGUUUUCGAGGAGAAGGCACGAGCAGGAGUGGCGGCGGUGUCGGGUGCGGGAGCGGCGGCCCAUUGAGUUGCGGUCGCACGAGUGAUCGCUGAUCCGGUGGUAGUAGCGCUACAGGUGCGGCCGCCGGGGAAAGCGGGUGCGGUGGCUGCAGUAACAGUAACGGCGCGAGAGGACGCCCCUGCGCGCGGACCCGGCAGGGGCUUCGCCGGCGGCGGAGGCUCCUGUCCCGGCUGGAGUCCUCCUAGGAUGAUCCCAGGAGGUUGGCGCGCCGGUGGCAGCAGGGAUUCCGCCAGAGCAAGAGGUUCCAUCACCCCUCGCCGCGCCCGAGUUACGAGGCCAUGACUUCGAGCCCUACGGUGACCGGCACGUCGAACGUGCCAUCCACGUAAGCUACACGUUGGGGUCGCGCCGCGGCGAGGCCGGGUGACGAAGACACGAUUACGACGAAUCCCUAGCCUAGUACGAAGAAACGCACCUAAGACGAGGACAACAAACGAGGGACGGACGUGAACAGGAUUUGACCUCAGGGAUGGAUGUCUCAUUUCACUCCUUUCGAUGCCUGUCGUCGUACACUUAAUCGCUCCUCCUCUAAGGGAUUUCAAGGGUUCGCUAAUGGGGGACUACGACGGCCAAAUGCAGCUGACCUUUUUCCGUCGGCUCAGGUUGCGGUAGUAUAAGGCCGCACCCAUAAGCUGACUCUCGGUUUUUCCGGAUGACAACCAUCUCUUUGAACUAAUGGACGUCAGCUCCGCCGCUCAAGUGUAGAAGUCUCAACCGGCGCAUGACGCGUCUAGUACCGCAAGUCGCCGUAGAGUGGCGUGGAAUGAGGGGCGUCGUCUUGCCCCACCAUCUCUCCGCUUUGGUCUGCCAGCACCCGUACCGAGCCUCGUACGAGUUCCGGUACUUACACGGACGACUCAACACCCCCCUCCGUCAGUGAGUGGUGCCGACAGAUAGAAGCACGACUUACGGUUGAUGACACGCAUACUAAAAUGAGACAGGCUGAGAUAUGCUACGGAUUAGAUCACCACACGACGGCAAACCUAGUCCUCAACUUCGCGAGCUAGACGAUACAGCAUACUUUAACCUGUUCGUUCUCAGCAUGCGUAUCGUUCUGAGCACGACUUAUCUAGCAUGUGGUCUUCGCAGGUUCCGUUCUGACAAACUCCGUACCAUACUGCCGUUCGGUCUACACGUAAAUAACGCGCAAAAACCAACGUCCCGAGUGCGUUUCUAGUGCUCCGGGAGCAACUUCUUUGAACUGCGGGCGUCGAGAGGGCCGCCACUACGAACCCAUGCUCGGCCCGCCGUUCCGCAUGGCCGAGAUGCUAGGGUGGCGGUUCACACACUAACACAGGGCACUACACCACAUGCUCCUUCCUGCAGGGACACUGACCCUGAGGACGUCGCUGGUGCCGCGCCUCUGGUGUAAGUGGUCCCAAAACGUGCCCUUCCUCUUCUCGUGUUCCUCGUCAGGUAAGUUCUCUAGACACAUUGACUCCCCGUGGCCGUCCGACUAAGAACCAUACAUGCAACUACUAGAUUAACAGUGGCCUCGUCUAUGUCCACUUCGCUGUGACAAGUUCCUCGUCUACUACUCGUUCAAAUUCUACUCACACAACCUUAACUAGAUGCCAAUAUUGUUUGACUCUGUUUCUUCCCCUCCUAAACGUAGGGGUCAUGUACGGGACUAGCCCCCGUAACUGGGUUGAAAACCAAAACCAGGGACAGGGGAAGCGUGGUGAAUGUUUUACUCCUCCAGCAUGGGGAACCCCACAUUGUGUGCAUGCCCAAUCGUGGGCCAAUGAGGAUUGUCGGCUAGGACUUUCCCACGAAUUCCCCUAGUCUUCUGGUGGUGGUGGCGGCCGGUGGAGGUCCAGGCACGGCCGCCGUAGGAAGUACAGACGAUGUAACGGACGACUACGGGAAGGAGGGCUGCUAGAAGAGUGACGACCUCUACGAUUCCACCUCGGUCCCCGAUAGGACAAUUACCUAGUUCUAUAAGUGCUCACUAGAUCCACACGAAUCGAUGAUGGAGCCGUAUCUUCAACUAGUUUCGUCGAGCCCGUAGUAGGACAGAGUUCCUCUUAUGCGGUCGUUCGACAACCUGUUCCGCCCGUACCCUCUGACGUUGGGACGUGUGUUGGGGUACCUCGGCGCGGACUUCGACUCGUUCUUCACGGGCUCAGGUGGAUGUCUACGGUGCAAAAUGUCUUCGCACCAACCCUCAGAGACGAUAGUACAUGUGUGUGCCUGACUGUAUUGGAAACAACAACCUAUAUAGUCGGCUAAGUACCUCCACGGGUGCUGUCUUGUGGAACGACGACAGUUCGUAGAAAAGGCGAUGUAUCGACCGUGGUUUCUAAACCCUACGUUCAUGUGACGGUCACCUCUCGAAGCGGACGGAACAAAGUCACUAAGUCUGUACCGGCCACUACAACUACUAGCCUUUUCGUGGUGCCCUCGGGUAAAGGACGAACCCCGCUCGGACUAGAGUACCGUCAGUGUCUUCGUCUUUCACCACCGGGAUAGCUCGACACUUCGCCUCAUGUAACGUCGGUACUGGUCGCGUACAGUUCCCCACACCGACUUGUCUGUCAACGUCCUGGACGAGCUCCCACCACCGGCACGGUGGUGUUAAGGCCACCUGUUGUUCAGGCGGUAAGUCGACACGUUUUGGGGCCAUAAGGUGUUGGUCUCGUUCGUAUAACUCGAAGUGAAGGUAAAGUAGGCACUCACGUAGCUACUACCUUUCUAAAUACAGCUGGUGUAGUUGUGACCGCUAGUCGAACGCCUAUAAGAGUGGUCUAGCGAGCGAGCUUGGUCUAAACACUAGUUGCAGUUCAUUCGUCGGUGUGAUCGAAUCCCCCUCAUACAAUCGUUUAUUUGGUCACACCGAACUAAUCAUCAAACCGUCGCAAAAUAUCGACUUUGAAAGAAGUCAUCAAAGUCAAUCGUCAAAAGAGGUCGUCGAUGUCUUCAAAGUCAAGUUGACAAUCGCUUCGGACUCCUGCACCCAACAUGCUAGGGCUCCGCGUAAACAUCCGGACAUUCCUCAGCACCCUACCGUGCUAUGCCAUUCUCCCGUUCUGGACGCCGUAUCAACAAAAGACAAUCUCUUUAUUUUCCGUUUCUCUUUUCGUCGUAAGUGACGCGACGUGGUUUUGAAGUCACAAGAAAGGCAAAGAAGAAGAUGGAACCCAUAUAUAUAUCUCUCUCUCUCGUCUCCCUCUAACUCUCCUUAACACUCACGACCGUCUCUAGUGUCUGACCCAUUGUGGUGGUACUACGUCUUUAAGUUCACGAAAAAGCUACACUUCCUGUCAAUUCUGACUUAUAACAGUGUGAACGGAUGCCUUGUUAACCUCGAUGUCUCACAAUACUAUGUCAUGAAUGGUUCUCCAAUCCGUAGCUUAUGAUUGAUCUUCUAGUUGUAGUUUGCUUCAGUCUUUUGCUACUUUUAAACGCCACUAAAAAAGACCUGGUUUUCCCUGUGAUCUUCGAAGCCCUCUUCCGCUCUGUACGAUGCCCUCUCGGUACUCGAGUGUCCCGCGCGGGGAGAUUCGAGCACCCGGGGUGAAUCGAGGUCUCCUUCGUCCUCCGACGCCGAUGCGAAGAUACCGCUUCUGGGGGAACAUCCAUGUCUUCUGUCUCGUCUCCGUCUAGGGACCGAUCCAUGUACUCUCUCUCCUUGUCUGUACUGUACCCGCUAAAAAAAGAUUGGAAUCGUACGUAGUGGUACCAGGCCACCGUGCCCUCUAUUUUGUCCCCUUUCUUCUCUCCCUUGUACUCUCUUC